rnacentral:ncRNA from 1 species
AAAGACUUAGUCCUAACCUUACGAUUAGUUCUUGCUAGACAUAUACAUGCAAGUAUCCGCGCCCCAGUGUAAAUGCCCUUGAUCACUACGCCGUAGGUAAAAGGAGCUGGCAUCAGGCACGCCCAUCGCAGCCCAAGACGCCUUGCUCAGCCACACCCUCACGGGUACUCAGCAGUAAUUAACAUUAGGCAAUAAGUGUAAACUUGACUUAGUCAUAGCAACCUCCAGGGUUGGUAAAUCUUGUGCCAGCCACCGCGGUCACACAAGAGACCCAAACCAAUCGUUUACGGCGUAAAGAGUGGACUCAUGCCUAUCACAACAUUUAAGGUCGAAACGUAACUGAGCUGUCAUAAGCUUAAGGUACGCCUAAAGCCUCCCUGAACAUGGCCUUAAUUGAUAUGAUCUAUUAAACUCCACGAAAGCCAGGACACAAACUGGGAUUAGAUACCCCACUAUGCCUGGCCCUAAAUCUAGAUGCUUAUGUUACUAAAGCAUCCGCCCGAGGACUACGAGCACAAACGCUUAAAACUCUAAGGACUUGGCGGUGCCCUAAACCCACCUAGAGGAGCCUGUUCUAUAAUCGAUAACCCACGAUGCACCCGACCACUUCUUGCCAAACACAGCCUACAUACCGCCGUCGCCAGCUCACCUCUCCUGAAAGUACAGCAGUGAGCACAAUAGCCCCAGCCCCGCUAGCAAGACAGGUCAAGGUAUAGCCUAUGGAGUGGAAGAAAUGGGCUACAUUUUCUAACCUAGAACACCCCACGGAAGGGGGCAUGAAACAGCCCCCAGAAGGCGGAUUUAGCAGUAAAGCGGGAUAACAAAGCCCUCUUUAAACUGGCCCUGAGGCACGUACAUACCGCCCGUCACCCUCCUCACAAGCUUUAAACUUAUAAUAAAUAAUACGCCAGCUCGCUAAAGAUGAGGUAAGUCGUAACAAGGUAAGUGUACCGGAAGGUGCACUUAGCACAC